rnacentral:ncRNA from 1 species
UUGGAUCUUGGGAUCGAGCUGGCGGUCCGCCGCAAGGUGAGCUACCGCCUGUCCCAGCCUCUGCCUCUUGGCGCCUACCUGAAGCUCUUGACUGAAUGUCACGGGGGCCCUGAAGCAUUUACUUUGAAAAAAUUAGAGUGUUCCAAGCAGGCCACGUCGCCUGGAUACUUCAGCUAGAAAUAAUGGAAUAGGACUGUGGUUCUAUUUUGUUGGUUUUCGGAACUGGGACCAUGAUUGAGAGGGAUGGCCGGGGGCAUUCGUAUUGUGCCGCAAGAGGUGAAAUUCUUGGACCGACACAAGACGAACCAAAGCAAAAGUAUUUGCCAAGAAUGUUUUCAUUAA